rnacentral:lncRNA from 1 species
AGGACAUUAAAGACAGAUGGUGAUGGAUCAGAGCACUCAUCAGCCACUGGGUGUAGACUGUAUAAAAAGCUGAGCCCAGAGGCCACCAUGAUCAACCUGCAACCUGGCAAGAAAUGGACUCAACUCCACAGACAGCAGUUGUCAGGGAGCCCAGACAUGUAAGGAUGCGGCAAAGGCCCUCGCCAGAUGCUGAAUGCGGAUGCCGUCAUCUUGGACUUCCUAGCUUCCAGAACGCUUGCAUCUAUAUGUGGCUCAGUGUCCAGGCUGCCUGACAUCCCAGGACAAUGCUGCACUGAUUUACUCUCUACAGCUCCAUGAAGCAGUGAUGAAAGCAAGGAAAAUUUUAUUCCUAACUUCAGAGGGAAUAUAUGCAAUGUUGCACUCUUCAGAGACAGAGCACUACGGAAGGGAGCCCCAUUCCCAAGCAUGGUGUCCAAUACACUGAAAGAAUAACUGGGCUCAGUAAUGCACCUAGAGACUCAGAUUCCAGACCUGCCCACUUGCUUUACUAUCCAAAACAACCAUGACACAUGACUUCUCUGGCGGGGUGUUGGCCAAGACAAACUGAACUAUAGAAGAUCCUUGACUUGCCAACGUUCAAAUGAUGAACUUUCAAAAAUAGCGAAACUGGCUGCAGAGCAAAAGCUUUUCAGCUCUGCACAACACCAACAGAUGGCGCUAAGUGUCACCCUUGUGGAGAGCAGAGGGACCUCGGAAGGGCCUUUGGAAAUCUAAUCUGGUUUUGAGUUCUUGGUGGGAAAAUGCACCUUUAAGUUGGGGGAGUUUGAAGACGUUGCCAAGACACGUGCUGCAGCAUUUGAUCUUUUCUGCCGCACUGGCUUCUGCAAUUAACAUGCUUUCACCAGUGAAACUCAGGUUGCGGGGAGAGCAUUCUUCCAGGUUCAUGCCUGUUGUCAUGGAGUAAUUAUAAUUCAUGUCUCCGUUCACAGUGUCCUGGUUUGUAGAAUAAAAUAUCUGGUCCACCCA